UACGUAGGGUGCGAGCGUUGUCCGGAAUUAUUGGGCGUAAAGAGCUCGUAGGCGGUCUGUCGCGUCGGUCGUGAAAACUUGGGGCUUAACCCUGAGCUUGCGGUCGAUACGGGCAUGACUGGAGUUCGGCAGGGGAGACUGGAAUUCCUGGGUGUAGCGGUGAAAUGCGCAGAUAUCAGGAGGAACACCAAUUGCGAAGGCAGCUCGCUGGGACGUUACUGACGCUGAGACGCGAAAGCGUGGGGAGCAAACAGG
rnacentral:rRNA from 1 species